GACGAACGCUGGCGGCGCGCUUAACACAUGCAAGUCGAACGGAAAGGCCUGCUUUCCCUUGUGGAUUGCGGGUACUCGAGUGGCGAACGGGUGAGUAACACGUGAGUGAUCUGCCCCCAACUUGGGUAUAAGCCUGGGAAACUGGGUCUAAUUCCCGAUAGGACUGCAGGGUGGUGCCUGUGGUGGAAAACGAUUUUCUAGUGGUUGGGGAUGAGCUCGCGGCCUAUCAGCUUGUUGGUGGGGUAAUGGCCUACCAAGGCGGCGACGGGUAGCCGGCCUGAGAGGGUGGACAGCCACAUUGGGACUGAGAUACGACCCAGACUCCUGCGGGAGGCAGCAGUGGGGAAUAUUGCACAAUGGGCGGAAGCCUGAUGCAGCGACGCCGCGUGGGGGAUGACGGCCUUCGGGUUGUAAACUCCUUUCGACCGCGAGGAAGCCACCUGGUUGGAAGGGUGGUGACGGUAGUGGUAGAAGAAGCACCGGCUAACUACGUG
rnacentral:rRNA from 1 species